GUGCGGUGAUGUAUUGCCAGCACAUCAUUCUGAAGAAAAGUGUGUGGUGACUUCCUGUGGCUGAGCACA